rnacentral:lncRNA from 1 species
UUUUUUUUUUUUUUUUUUUUUUUUUUUUUUUUUUUUCCCUUUUUUUUUUUCUCUUUUCUCUUUUUUUCUCUUUCCUUCUUUCUCUCUCUCUCUCUUUUUCUCUUUUUCCCAAUACAACUUGCUUUUGGCCACUCUGCACUGAGCAAAAUGACUAGAAGGAAAACCUCACCUCAAAAGAAAGAAUCAGAAACAGUCCUCUCUCCCACAGAGUUACAAAAUCUGGAUUACAAUUCAAUGUCAGAAAGCCAAUUCAGAAGCACUAUUAUACAGCUACUGGUGGCUCUAGAAAAAAGUAUAAAGGACUCAAGAGACUUCAUGACUGCAGAAUUUAGAGCUAAUCAGGCCGAAAUUAAAAAUCAAUUGAAUGAGAUGCAAUCCAAACUAGAAGUCCUAACGACGAGGGUUAACGAGGUGGAAGAACGAGUGAGUGACCUAGAAGACAAGUUGAUAGCAAAGAGGGAAACUGAGGAAAAAAGAGACAAACAAUUAAAAGACCAUGAAGAUAGAUUAAGGGAAAUAAACGACAGCCUGAGGAAGAAAAAACCUACGUUUAAUUGGGGUUCCCGAGGGCGCCGAAAGGGACAGAGGGCCAGAAUAUGUAUUUGAACAAAUUCUAGCUGAAAACUUUCCUAAUCUGGGAAGGGAAACAGGCAUUCAGAUCCAGGAAAUAGAGAGAUCCCCCCCUAAAAUCAAUAAAAAAAACCGUUCAACACCUCGACAUUUAAUUGUGAAGCUUGCAAAUUCCAAAGAUAAGGAGAAGAUCCUUAAAGCAGCAAGAGACAAGAAAUCCCUGACUUUUAUGGGGAGGAGUAUUAGGGUAACAGCAGACCUCUCCACAGAGACCUGGCAGGCCAGAAAGGGCUGGCAGGAUAUAUUCAGGGUCCUAAAGGAGAAGAACAUGCAACCAAGAAUACUUUAUCCAGCAAGGCUCUCAUUCAAAAUGGAAGGAGAGAUAAAGAGCUUCCAAGACAGGCAGCAACUAAAAGAAUAUGUGACCUCCAAACCAGCUCUGCAAGAAAUUUUAAGGGGGCCUCUUAAAAUUCCCCUUUAAGAAGAAGUUCAGUGGAACAGUCCACAAAAACAAAGACUGAAUAGAUAUCAUGAUGACACUAAACUCAUAUCUCUCAAUAGUAACUCUGAAUGUGAACGGGCUUAAUGACCCCAUCAAAAGGCGCAGGGUUUCAGACUGGAUAAAAAAGCAGGACCCAUCUAUUUGCUGUCUACAAGAGACUCAUUUUAGACAGAAGGACACCUACAGCCUGAAAAUAAAAGGUUGGAGAACCAUUUACCAUUCGAAUGGUCCUCAAAAGAAAGCAGGGGUAGCCAUCCUUAUAUCAGAUAAACUAAAAUUUACCCCAAAGACUGUAGUGAGAGAUGAAGAGGGACACUAUAUCAUACUUAAAGGAUCUAUUCAACAAGAGGACUUAACAAUCCUCAAUAUAUAUGCUCCGAAUGUGGGAGCUGCCAAAUAUAUAAUCAAUUAUUAACCAAAGUGAAGAAAUACUUAGAUAAUAAUACACUUAUACUUGGUGACUUCAAUCUAGCUCUUUCUAUACUUGAUAGGUCUUCUAAGCACAACAUCUCCAAAGAAACGAGAGCUUUAAAUGAUACACUGGACCAGAUGGAUUUCACAGAUAUCUACAGAACUUUACAUCCAAACUCAACUGAAUACACAUUCUUCUCAAGCGCACAUGGAACUUUCUCCAGAAUAGACCACAUAUUGGGUCACAAAUCGGGUCUGAACCGAUACCAAAAGAUUGGGAUUGUCCCCUGCAUAUUCUCGGACCAUAAUGCCUUG